rfam:Picea glauca, whole genome shotgun sequence.
ACAUGCUUACAACAUAGCAUUAAUGCAGCGGAUCCCAUUAGAACUUUGUAGUUAAGCAUGCUCAAGAUAGAGUUGUACUGGGAUGGGUGACCUCAUGGGAAUUCCUAGUGUCUUACAUGCC